rnacentral:rRNA from 1 species
CCCCUAGAUGUUCUGGGCCGCACGCGCGCUACACUGAACAGUUCAACAAGUCUUAACCUUGGCCGAUAGGUCUGGGUAAUCUUUGAACGCUGUUCGUGAUUGGGAUAGACCUUUGCAAUUAUGGGUCUUCAACGAGGAAUUCCUAGUAAGCGCAAGUCAUCAGCUUGCGUUGAUUACGUCCCUGCCCUUUGUACACACCGCCCGUCGCUCCUACCGAUUGAAUGGUCCGGUGAAGCGUUCGGACCGUGGCCUUUGGACGGUUCGCCGUCUGUUGGCUGCGGGAAGUUCGUUAAACCUUAUCAUUUAGAGGAAGGAGAANUCGUAACA